rnacentral:rRNA from 1 species
AAGCGGAGGAAAAGAAACUAACAAGGAUUCCCCUAGUAACGGCGAGUGAAGCGGGAAGAGCUCAAAUUUGAAAUCUGGUAGCCUUCGGUUGCCCGAGUUGUAAUCUAGAGAAGUGUUUUCCGUGCCGGCCCAUGUACAAGUCCCUUGGAACAGGGCGUCAUAGAGGGUGAGAAUCCCGUCCUUGACAUGGACCCCCGGUGCUUUGUGAUACACUUUCAACGAGUCGAGUUGUUUGGGAAUGCAGCUCAAAAUGGGUGGUGAAUUCCAUCUAAAGCUAAAUAUUGGCGAGAGACCGAUAGCGAACAAGUACCGUGAGGGAAAGAUGAAAAGCACUUUGGAAAGAGAGUUAAACAGUACGUGAAAUUGUUGAAAGGGAAACGAUUGAAGUCAGUCAUGCUCUUGGGACUUACCUCCCUUGAGUGGGGUCAACAUCAGUUUUGAUCGAUGGAUAAAGGCACGGGGAAGGUAGCACUCUCGGGUGAACUUAUAGCCUCGCGUCAUAUACAUUGAUUGGGACUGAGGAACGCAGCAUGCCUUAUGGCCGGGAUUCGUCCACGUACAUGCUUAGGAUGUUGACAUAAUGGCU